rnacentral:rRNA from 1 species
UUCCGGAGAGGGAGCCUGAGAAACGGCUACCACAUCCAAGGAAGGCAGCAGGCGCGCAAAUUACCCAAUCCAGACAUUGGGAGGUAGUGACGAGAAAUACUGGGGAUGUUCUAUCAGAAUGUCACCCGGGAUGAACGUAGCAUAAAACAUUCGAUGAGGAUAUCUACUGAGGGGCAAGUCUGGUGCCAGCAGCCGCGGUAAUUCCAGCUCCAGUAGUGUAUAUCAACAUUGUUGCGUUUAAAACGCUCGUAGUUGGAUUACAGGGUGUCGAAUGGCCCGCGCUAAAUAGCCGGGUCAGUUUAGCGAAUAUUGUGUGUGCGAUUCGGCUGGAAACAGUUGGUCGGCAUUUUUGUUUGCUGAAUGACGCCUUUUUCGCACCGGCCCUGGCACUUACUUUGUUGAAAGUGUCGGAGGAGCAGGUGGAGUGUGCCUUGAAUAAAGCAUAGUGCUCAAAGCAGGCGUACGCUCGUGUGUAAUAGCAUGGAACAGAUAGCCGGCCUAAAGGGUGGUUGAGUUGUGAAAGCAGCGGCAGCCACCUUGUCUCGCUUUGUUGGUUGUGAGACGGGUCUCGUUGGUUAAAAGGGACAUUUGAGGGCAUUGGUACUUUGUGGCGAGAGGUGAAAUUCUUAGACCCACAAAAGACCGACUGGUGCGAAAGCGUUUGUCAAGAAUGUUUUCAUUAAUCAAGAACGAAGGUCAGAGGUUCGAAGACGAUCAGAUACCGUCCUAGUUUUGACAGCAAACGAUGCUAGCACAGCAUCAGCCCGUCCGCCCUUGGUUGGGACGAGAUAGGUUGGUGCUGCCGGGAAACCUCAAGCUUUCGAGUUACGGGGAGAGUAUAGCUUCAAGGCGGGAAUUUAAAGAAAUUGACGGAGAGGCACCACCAGGAGUGGAGCCUGCGGCUUAAUUUGACUCAACACGGGGAAACUCACCAGGUCCAGACAUUGGCAGGAUUGACAGGCUGGUAGACCUUUCAUGAUUCGAUGGAUGGUGGUGCAUGGCCGUUCUUAGUUGGUGGAGUGAUCUGUCAGGUCUAUUCCGGUAACGAGCGAGACCGCGGUCAGUAGUUUCAGUCGUGCUCAGUUAAGCGCGUUGUGUUAUUAUUUAAUUAUAGUGGUGCAGCGUGUUGGGUGCUGACUGACUACUGGGACAACUGGACUCUAAGCCAGGGGAAGCGCGGCAAUAACAGGUCUGUGAUGCCCUUCGAUGUCCUGGGCUGCACGCGCGCUACAAUGGCAGCAGAAGAGGGUAGCUGAUUAGAGAUGAUUGGCUAAACUGUGAAUAGCUGUCGUGAUGGGGAUUGUGCCUUGGAAUUAUUGCACAUGAAAGAGGAAUUCCUCGUAAGCACUGGUCAUCAGCCAGUGUUGAAUACGUCUCUGCCUCUUGUACACACCGCCCGUCGCUACUACCGAUUGAAUAUCAUUUAGAGCUGGCUGG